rnacentral:rRNA from 1 species
UACGUAGGGUGCAAGCGUUAAUCGGAAUUACUGGGCGUAAAGCGUGCGCAGGCGGUUGUGUAAGUCAGAUGUGAAAUCCCCGGGCUCAACCUGGGAAUUGCAUUUGAGACUGCACGGCUAGAGUGUGUCAGAGGGGGGUAGAAUUCCACGUGUAGCAGUGCAAUGCGUAGAGAUGUGGAGGAACACCGAUGGCGAAGGCAGCCCCCUGGGUCAAGAUUGACGCUCAUGCACGAAAGCGUGGGGAGCAAACAGG